rnacentral:sRNA from 1 species
GAGGCACCUGCUGGCCCAGGACCUGUUCUCAGUCUACAUGAGCAGGAAUGACCAGGGGAGCAUGCUCACGCUGAGGGCCAUUGAUCUGUCCUACUACACAGGCUCCCUGCACUGGAUACCCAUGACUGCAAGAAUACUGGCAGUUCACUGUGGACAGUGUCAUCAUUGAUGGCGUGGUGGUGGCCUGUGACGGUGGCUGUCAGGCCAUCCUGGACACUGGCACCUCCCUGCUGGUGGGGCCUGGCAGCAACAUCCUCAACAUCCAGCAAGCCAUUGGAGCCACUGUGGGCCAGUACAAUGAGUUUGACAUCGACUGCGGGCGCCUGAGCAGCGUGCCCACGGUUGUCUUCGAGAUCCACGGCAAGAAGUACCCCCUGCCACCCUCCGCCUACACCAGCCAGGACCAGGGCUUCUGCACCAGUGGUUUCCAGGGUGACUAUAGUUCCCAGCAGUGGAUCCUCGGGGAUGUCUUCAUCCGGGAGUAUUACAGUGUCUUUGACAGGGCCAAUAACCUUGUGGGGCUGGCGAAGGCUGUCUGAUUGCAUCACUGGCCACGGACCUCAAUGUGACCAAACACACACAUGCACAUAGAUGAGAUGUGCAGGCAGAUGGUUCCCAAUAAACACCGCAUUUCUGCAAA